UCACUGCACAGGUGGCUUUCUACAGGGGAUUCUUGAGGGCACCUGGGCUGUCACCUAGGAUGAUAUCUUCUCAUCCUUGCCUGGGAAGGAGGAUCUGGUCUGAUCUCACUGACUUCUAUGUUACUUUCUCCUUCCAGGGUCUUGGGCACAGUUUGAAUUGACUCAGCCUCACUCUGUGUCUGCAUCUCCAGGGAAGACAGUCACCAUCUCCUGUACACGCAGCAGUGAUGAUAUUGGGAGUUACUAUGUGUACUGGUACCAACAGCAUCAGGGCAGUGCUCCUAGCACUGUGAUCUAUGAAGAUGAUAAAAGACCCUCUGGGGUCCCUGAUCGGUUCUCAGGAUCCAUUGACAGUUCCUCCAACACAGCCUCCCUGUCUAUCUCUGAUCUGCAGAUUGAGGAUGAGGCUGACUACUAUUGUCAGUCUUACGAUAGCAGCUAUAAUCCCACAGUGCUCCAGACACAUGGGGAAGUG
rnacentral:lncRNA from 1 species